rnacentral:rRNA from 1 species
AGGACGAACGCUGGCGGCGUGCCUAACACAUGCAAGUCGAACGCGCUCCAUUCGGUAGCAAUACUGAUGAAGAGUGAGUGGCGAACGGGUGAGUAGCACGUGAGCAACCUGCCCCGAAGACUGGGACAACACCGGGAAACCGGUGCUAAUACCGGAUACCCUUAUUGGACCGCAUGAUCCGAUAAGGAAAUGGAUUCCGCUUCGGGAGGGGCUCGCGGCCUAUCAGCUUGUUGGUGGGGUAACGGCCUACCAAGGCGACG